GUGGGGAAUAUUGGGCAAUGGGCGAAAGCCUGACCCAGCAACGCCGCGUGAAGGAAGAAGGUCUUCGGAUCGUAAACUUCUAUCCUUGGUGAAGAUAAUGACGGUAGCCGAGAAGGAAGCCCCGGCUAACUACGUGCCAGCAGCCGCGGUAAUACGUAGGGGGCAAGCGUUGUCCGGAAUGAUUGGGCGUAAAGGGCGCGUAGGCGGCCUGGUAAGUCUGGAGUGAAAGUCCUGCUUUUAAGGUGGGAAUUGCUUUGGAUACUGUCGGGCUUGAGUGCAGGAGAGGUAAGUGGAAUUCCCAGUGUAGCGGUGAAAUGCGUAGAGAUUGGGAGGAACACCAGUGGCGAAGGCGACUUACUGGGCCGUAACUGACGCUGAGGCGCGAAAGCGUGGGGAGCGAACAGGAUUAGAAACCCUUGUAGUCC
rnacentral:rRNA from 1 species